rnacentral:rRNA from 1 species
CAGUAGCCACGGUAAAACGAAGGGGGCUAGCGUUGUUCGGAUUUACUGGGCGUAAAGCGCACGUAGGCGGAUCGAUCAGUCAGGGGUGGAAUCCCAGAGCUCAACUCUGGAACUGCCUUUGAUACUGUCGAUCUGGAGUAUGGAAGAGGUGAGUGGAAUUCCGAGUGUAGAGGUGAAAUUCGUAGAUAUUCGGAGGAACACCAGUGGCGAAGGCGGCUCACUGUACUGGUAUUGACGCUGAGGUGCGAAAGCGUGGGGAGCAAACAGGAUUAGAUACCCCCGUAGUCCCUGUCUCUUAUAC